AUUGAACGCUGGCGGCAUGCUUUACACAUGCAAGUCGAACGGCAGCGCGGGCUUCGGCCUGGCGGCGCGUGGCGAACGGGUGAGUAAUGCAUCGGAACGUGCCCAGUAGUGGGGGAUAGCCCGGCGAAAGCCGGAUUAAUACCGCAUACGACCUGAGGGUGAAAGCGGGGGACCGAAAGGCCUCGCGCUAUUGGAGCGGCCGAUGUCGGAUUAGCUAGUUGGUGGGGUAAAGGCUUACCAAGGCGACGAUCCGUAGCUGGUCUGAGAGGACGACCAGCCACACUGGGACUGAGACACGGCCCAGACUCCUACGGGAGGCAGCAGUGGGGAAUUUUGGACAAUGGGGGCAACCCUGAUCCAGCCAUGCCGCGUGCGGGAAGAAGGCCUUCGGGUUGUAAACCGCUUUUGUUCGGGAAGAAAUCCUCUGGGCUAAUACCCCGGGGGGAUGACGGUACCGGAAGAAUAAGCACCGGCUAACUACGUG
rnacentral:rRNA from 1 species